UACGAAGGGGGCUAGCGUUGCUCGGAAUCACUGGGCGUAAAGCGUGCGCAGGCGGUGAUGUAAGACAGGUGUGAAAUCCCCGGGCUUAACCUGGGAACUGCAUUUGUGACUGCAUCGCUGGAGUGCGGCAGAGGGGGAUGGAAUUCCGCGUGUAGCAGUGAAAUGCGUAGAUAUGCGGAGGAACACCGAUGGCGAAGGCAAUCCCCUGGACCUGUACUGACGCUCAUGCACGAAAGCGUGGGGAGCAAACAGG
rnacentral:rRNA from 1 species